GAGGUAUUAGUAAAAUAAUUACGUAACUUUGUCAAAGUUAAAUUAUAGGGUUAUACCUAUAUAUCUC
rnacentral:tRNA from 1 species